rnacentral:rRNA from 1 species
CUUGCGCAAUGGGCGAAAGCCUGACGCAGCAACGCCGCGUGCGGGAAGAAGGCCCUAGGGUUGUAAACCGCUUUCAGUAGGACGAAAAUGACGGUACCUGCAGAAGAAGGUGCGGCCAACUACGUGCCAGCAGCCGCGGUGACACGUAGGCACCAAGCGUUGUCCGGAUUUAUUGGGCGUAAAGAGCUCGUAGGCGGUUGAGUAAGUCGGGUGUGAAAACUCUGGGCUUAACCCAGAGCCGCCACUCGAUACUGCUCUGACUUGAGUUCGGUAGGGGAGCAGGGAAUUCCUAGUGUAGCGGUGAAAUGCGCAGAUAUUAGGAGGAACACCGGUGGCGAAGGCGCUGCUCUGGGCCGAAACUGACGCUGAGGAGCGAAAGCGUGGGUAGCAAACAGGAUUAGAUACCCUGGUAGUCCACGCCGUAAACGUUGGGCACUAGGUGUGGGUUCCAACCAACGGAAUCCGCGCCGUCGCUAACGCAUUAAGUGCCCCGCCUGGGGAGUACGGCGGCAACGCUA